UACAGAGGUCUCAAGCGUUGUUCGGAUUCAUUGGGCGUAAGGGGUGCGUAGGCGGCGCGGUAAGUCGGGUGUGAAAUCUCGGGGCUUAACUCCGAAACUGCAUUCGAUACUGCCGUGCUUGAGGACUGGAGGGGAGACUGGAAUUUACGGUGUAGCGGUGAAAUGCGUAGAUAUCGUAAGGAAGACCAGUGGCGAAGGCGGGUCUCUGGACAGUUCCUGACGCUGAGGCACGAAGGUCAGGGGAGCAAACGGG
rnacentral:rRNA from 1 species